rnacentral:rRNA from 1 species
UAGGGAAUCUUCGGCAAUGGGGGGAACCCUGACCGAGCAACGCCGCGUGAGUGAAGAAGGUUUUCGGAUCGUAAAGCUCUGUUGUUAAGGAAGAACGAGUGUGAGAAUGGAAAGUUCAUGCUGUGACGGUACUUAACCAGAAAGGGACGGCUAACUACGUGCCAGCAGCCGCGGUAAUACGUAGGUCCCGAGCGUUGUCCGGAUUUAUUGGGCGUAAAGCGAGCGCAGGCGGUUAGAAAAGUCUGAAGUGAAAGGCAGUGGCUCAACCAUUGUAGGCUUUGGAAACUGGUUAACUUGAGUGCAGAAGGGGAGAGUGGACUUCCAUGUGUAGCGGUGAAAUGCGUAGAUAUAUGGAGGAACACCGGUGGCGAAAGCGGCUCUCUGGUCUGUAACUGACGCGGAGGCUCGAAAGCGUGGGGAGCGAACAGG